rnacentral:lncRNA from 1 species
AUUCAAUUUCUAGCAUUAAAUCAAUCACAGACCAGCAGCUCCUCGAAUUCAAGGGAGACCUGGUGUCCUUGAACUCGGACCCUGCAGGACCUCACAAGCACCUGCUCUGUGUCUUCUCUGCAGCCACCCCACAGGAACCGGGACAAUUAGCCAGGAUGGAUGUGCUGAGGGGAAGGGAAAACUCCAGACCUUCGGGGAAGCUUGAUCCUGAGGUUCACACUCGUCCCUGCAGACGUGGUGCCACUUUGGUCCACAAGUCAGCGCGGGAGAACCUGCUCUUCUCAGCCCCUCCAGGGCACCGGGCUGGUCCAUCGCCUUGAUGACCACGGGCAGAGCACCAAUCCAACGUACAGCGGUCAACCCUGUCAUCUUUGCCAAGUCUAAUUCGGGCGACGGAAAGACCAGCUUCAUUGGACUGAUUCGGUUACACGAAACAGAAGCCCAUUCCAGCCAGUCGAAGCAAGAAGCGUAACUCAAUACGAGGCGUCAGGACUGUCUCCUGGGUCUCAAGGACAGGCCAGCCGCGUAAGGACAUCCCUCCCGGGGCGGAGGCCCUCCCGGAGCGCCUGGCUUUCCCCACCCCGCCUCUGUGCUUCGCUCAGAACCCUGGCUUCCUCCCUCUCUCUCAGCCCUGUGUCCCAAACAGGUCUCCUCGGCACAUCUGUUACCUGACCUGAGCUCCCAGGCAGGUCUCCUCGGCACAUCUGUUACCUGACCUGAGCCGAACUCAACGGACGAGGCUCCCCUUCUCCUAAUUCCAAAGUUCAGGGAGUUCCCACUGUGGCUCAGUGGUAACGAAGCCAACUAGUAUGGGUGAGGACGCGGGUUCCAUCCCUGGCCUCACGCCAUGGGUUAAGGAUUCAGCAGUGUUGUAGUUGUGGUGUAGGCCCGCAGCUAUGGCUCUGAUUUGACCCUUAGCCUGGAACUUCCAUAGGCUGAGGGGGCAGUCCUACAAAGCAAAGCAAAAAACAAGAAACAAAAAAAAACCCCAAACCAGAAAAACCGCCAAAGUUCAAGACUCCGACGGGCCCCACCUGGCCUCUGGGCUGAUCCCCUGAAGCGGCUGCCCGCCUCCGUCCAGUCGGCUGCUCAAGGGGGAGGGACUGCAGAGGACAAAGAUGGGCCCCCUGGGUCGGGACCCAACAGGGGCUUGUGGGUUGAGCAGGUCCCCUCAGAGGAACCUGCUUCCCUCUUGCCUGCCCUGAGGACUGGGAGGAGGCCAGCUGGGUCACUUUUCUGCCCAGUCAUUCCUCGGCACCAACCUUCUUCAGGGGUAAAGUCCCUCCCUCUGGAACCUCAGAGCCUGGGGAAACUCCCGAAAAUUUUGGAAGAGGCUACUGAAGAGUGAGUGGCUCAUGCUCUGGGGGCUGAUUAAGGUUCCCGGGGACGCGCCUAUUUUUCUGGGUCCCUGAAAGUGGUUUACAGACCCGUCCCGAGGGAUUUCCUGUCUGGCCUCCCGAGUCGUGGCUCCGCCUUGCAAACAGGACGGAUCAACCUGCUGCCUUUGAGCAGCUGCCUCUCCCGCUGAUCCCAUCUGAUCCUGAGUCUUCCUCUGAGCCUUGACUCCUAGAAUGUCAGCGCUGGGAGAUCACCGCCUCGCACAGCUUUCUCCCUCUGGACGGUCGAGGAAACUGAGAGGCGGACGGGAGAAAUCCCCGAGGGUGAGAGGGGGAGGAUUUAGGUCACGUGGUCAAACAUGUUGUUAGCCAAGCUAUUUUCUUUUCUUUUUUUCUUUUUUCCUCCUUUUGUUUUUAUGGCUGUCCUGAGGUGUAUUGAAUUCACAGGCCAGGGACCCGACGUGAGCUGCCGUUGCGACCUAUGCUCCAGCUGUAGCAACACCGGAUCCUUAACCUACUGUGCCGAGCUGGGUGUCGAACCUGUAUCUCAGAGCUCCAGAGAGGCUGCCACAGUGGGAGCUCCUGGUCAGUAAAUUCUGGCCUCAAGGCAACGAAGUCUCCCUGAUAAGCAGCUGCAUCCAGUAAACACCUGCAGAAGCCCUACUACCCUCCUGGCAUCUGCUUGGCACGUGGGCAGACAGAGGGAUUGGACUCCAUGCCUGGAAUAACCUGAUCCGCUGGGGUGGGGAGAAGCACGCCUAACAUGUAAUUACAGCCAGGCGACAGGGACAGCCCCCGCCAGAUCUGGGAUCCCCAGAGUGUGUCAGUGCAGGGAGAGGGCUGCGGUGAGAUCGCAGGGCUGCGCCCAGAGACGAGUGGCCCUUGAAGGUAAGCGCGGCCUGGGCUUCCUCCAUUCCCACAGCAAACCCGGUGACCGUGGGUUUUGGAAUCAAACAGGUCCAGGUUCAGAUCCCUGAGCAACUAGAGCAGGUGGCUUCACUUUGCGGGUCUCGGAUUUCUUCUUUAUCAAAACAAGAUAACUGGGAGUUCCUGCUCAGCAGGUUAUGAAUCCGACUGGUAUCCAUAGGAUGUGGGUUCGAUCCCUGGCCUCACUCAGGGGGUUAAGGAUCCAGAGUUGCUGUGAGCUGCAGUGUAGGUCACGAUGUGACUCAGAUAGCACUUUGCAGGGGCUGUAGCAUAGACCAGCAGCUGCAGCUCUGAUUCAACCCAUAGCCUGGGGGGUAUGCCUCAGGUUCAGCCCUUAAAAAAACAAACAGUCAAACGAAAAGACCAAAGAAAAAGGAUGAUGUGGGAGUUGCCUCAUAGUCAGGGGGUUAGAAAUUGGCGGUUUCACUGCCGAGGCCUGGGUUCAAUCCCUGGCCUGGGAACCGAGAUCCCAUAUCAAGCCACUGCAUCACUGCCACACGAUG